rnacentral:rRNA from 1 species
AGUGAACGCUGGCGGUAGGCCUAACACAUGCAAGUCGAACGGCAGCACAGUAAGAGCUUGCUCUUACGGGUGGCGAGUGGCGGACGGGUGAGGAAUACAUCGGAAUCUACUUUUUCGUGGGGGAUAACGUAGGGAAACUUACGCUAAUACCGCAUACGACCUACGGGUGAAAGCAGGGGAUCUUCGGACCUUGCGCGAUUGAAUGAGCCGAUGUCGGAUUAGCUAGUUGGCGGGGUAAAGGCCCACCAAGGCGACGAUCCGUAGCUGGUCUGAGAGGAUGAUCGGCCACACUGGAACUGGGACACGGUCCAGACUCCUACGGGAGGCAGCAGUGGGGAAUAUUGGACAGUGGGCGCAAGCCUGAUCCAGCCAUACCGCGUGGGUGAAGAAGGCCUUCGGGUUGUAAAGCCCUUUUGUUGGGAAAGAAAAGCAGCAGGUUAAUACCCCGCUGUUCUGACGGUACCCAAAGAAUAAGCACCGGCUAACUUCGUG